AUUGAACGCUGGCGGCAUGCCUUACACAUGCAAGUCGAACGGCAGCACGGACUUCGGUCUGGUGGCGAGUGGCGAACGGGUGAGUAAUGUAUCGGAACGUACCUUUCAGUGGGGGAUAACGUAGCGAAAGUUACGCUAAUACCACAUAUUCUGUGAGCAGGAAAGCAGGGGAUCGAAAGACCUUGCGCUGAUUGAGCGGCCGAUAUCAGAUUAGCUAGUUGGUGGGGUAAAGGCCUACCAAGGCGACGAUCUGUAGCGGGUCUGAGAGGAUGAUCCGCCACACUGGAACUGAGACACGGUCCAGACUCCUACGGGAGGCAGCAGUGGGGAAUUUUGGACAAUGGGGGCAACCCUGAUCCAGCCAUGCCGCGUGAGUGAAGAAGGCCUUCGGGUUGUAAAGCUCUUUCGGCCGGGAAGAAAUCGCAUAGGCUAACACCCUGUGUGGAUGACGGUACCGGAAUAAGAAGCACCGGCUAACUACGUG
rnacentral:rRNA from 1 species